rnacentral:rRNA from 1 species
UACAGAGGCCACGAGCGUUUAGGCGGAAUCACUGGGCUUAAAGCGUGUGUAGGUGGAUGGGUAAGUACCUUGUGAAAUCCCACGGCUCAACCGUGGAACUGCUUGGUAUACUGCCUGUCUUGAGGCACUCAGGGGGCGAGCGGAACAGAUGGUGGAGCGGUGAAAUGCGUAGAUAUCAUCUGGAACGCCAAUGGUGAAGACAGCUCGCUGGGGGGUGUACUGACACUGAGACACGAAAGCCAGGGGAGCAAACGGGAUUAAGAAAACCCUG